rnacentral:rRNA from 1 species
AUUGAACGCUGGCGGCAUGCCUAACACAUGCAAGUCGAACGGUAACACGGGACAGGUUGCGGUUGCGAGUACGGGAGGGGUGAGUAUGGGUACGGACCGUGCAACGGCGUGGGGGAGGGGGAGGACUAAGGCGGACUAAUGCUGAUAACGACUAACGGGUGAAAGCGGGGGACGGAAAGGUCCGGGGCUCUUGGAGCGACCGAUGUCGGAUUAGCUAGUUGGUGGGGUAAAGGCUAACCUAGGCGACGAUCCGUAGCUGGUCUGAGAGGACGACCAGCCACACUGGAACUGAGACACGGCCCAGACUCCUACGGGAGGCAGCAGUGGGGAAUUUUGGACAAUGGGGGCAACCCUGAUCCAGCCAUGCCGCGUGCGGGAAGAAGGCCUUCGGGUUGUAAACCGCUUUUGUUCGGGAAGAAAGCCUCUGGGCUAAUACCCCGGGGGGAUGACGUUACCGGAAGAAUAAGCACCGGCUAACUACGUG